rnacentral:rRNA from 1 species
GAUGAACGCUGGCGGCGUGCUUAACACAUGCAAGUCGAACGGAGAGGCCCCUGCUUGCAGGGGUACUCGAGUGGCGAAAAGGGGAGUAACACGUGGGUGAACUGCCCUGCACUUCGGGAUAAGACUGGGGAACUGGGGCUAAUACCGGAGAGGACCACAGAUUGGAGGGUGUGGUGGGGAGGUUUUCGGUGUGGGCUGAGCGCGCGGCCUAUCGGCUUGUUGGUGGGGUAGUGGCGUGCCAAGGCGUCGACGGGUAGCCGGCCUGUGAGGGUGUACGGGCACAUUGGGCCUGAGUUCCGGCCCAGACUCCUGUGGGGGGCAGUAGUGGGGAAUAUUGCACCAUGGGCGGAGGCCUGAUGCAGCGACGCGGCGUCUGCGAUGUCGACCUUUGGUUCGUAAACGGCUUUCGCUAGGGACGAAGUGGUAGUGACGGUACCUGGUGAAGAAGCGCCGGCUAACUACGUG